UGUUCUGGACUUCUUUUGUUUUGCGACUUGAACUUUUACCGUUUUGAGCUUUUACCAACUUGAAUUCGGAGUGUGGAUGAGCACUUGAACUUAUAGAAGUGAAAGUUUUCUGUUUUAAUUCAUAUUUGUUUCUUGUCCGAACUUAUGGUACCAUCAUCGUCGAACCUACAUGGUUUGUGUAGCUAAACAAAAAUAACUUUUUACCCGAAUAAAUGUUUUAUAGAUGAACCAACUAUGUUUUAUUUUUUGAACUUACAUGCUAGUAAUGAUUAAACAUCCCCAUACAUUUUUUCUCUAUUCAUGGACAUCAACCAAAAUAUGCAGGAGAGAGAGCACUAUCGAACUGAUCAAUAUUUUUAAUUCAAACAAUUUUUCCUUUCUUGUACAAACAUCUAACUGUCAUGUACACUUUUCUUUAAGAAGUAGCAAUCAAAUCACCAUAGACAGAAAAUUUGAACUUGCAGCUGCCGCUUUGUGUACGGAUUCCAUGUUUUGGUCAUCCUCAUUGCCUGCGUUAUGUACUUCAUCCUCAACAUGCUGGUGUCCUUCGUGAUCAGCGUCGACAUAGUGGGCUAGUGAUCGGCAUCCGUCCAAACCUCCCUCGUGCUGCAGUAUAGAGAGAAACAAAAUUGUUAGUGGAAAGAGCAGUAGAAAGAAACAAAUUAGAGGUGAGCUACAAAACAUUAUUAAAUUAUUCGAAUAAAUUCCUAUGGUCACUACAACAGCUAUGCAAUAUAGGAAGCAAACACUGACCCAAAAACUGAGAACAAAAUGCUUCAUGUGCAAAUUCCAUUAGGUACCAAACAACAGUUCUCCAACAAUACAGUCCAAGAGUCCAUAGAGCAUUUUGUUCAAGAUUUCAUAUAUGCACUUGAUUUAAUAUAGGAGAACAAAAUGCUUCAAGUCCAAAAAGUACAGAAAGUUCAUAGAGUAUAUCUCUUAGUUCAAAACACACACUAUAAUACUAGAACUACUGAGAGUUCUCCAACAAUACUCUAUGAACAAGUCUAGGAGUUCAGAGAGUUUUCAGUCCAGGAAUACUUUAUGAACAUGUCCAGGAGUUCAUAGAGUUCUUAGUUCAAAUUUUGGUACCUAAUGGUACCAAAUCCAAUAAAGCAUUGGAGUAGCCUGGGCACAAGUCCAGAAAAGUUAUACAAUAUAUCCCCCUCAUUUUGAACUACUAUCAUAAAAAUCGAACAUAACUGGACGGAGGGACUUGCUUCAACCAUAACUUCUAUGUUGUCUUCUUUCUUAUCAAACGAGCAGACUGAUUGUACAUAGGGUUUCGUUGGAAAUAAACCGGCAUGCCCUCGAGUCUGCGAGCGGGUUGGACUAGCUCCCAGGGGCCCAUUCGGCACCAGUUUCUCCCAUUUAGUCAUAACAAGUCAUGAGUUCCCAUAACAAGUUCAAACACAUUCUAAGUGACUUGCACAAUCAGUUUCAUUUUUGUGUAACCAAGCAAGUUCAUGUUCAGUAACUUUAGAAGUUCCCAAAGAAACCUAAAGAGAUUUCUAUACUUUGAAAUACUUCAUUUUUACUUCCCAAAUACUUCAUUUGUUUUGAAACAUGAACUCCUACAUUUAUUUCCUUAGAACUUGUUAUCUUUUCCCUGUGAAUUCCAUGGGUUUUUUGUGUUUCAUUAUUUUUGUUUAUGUUGUUUUCUGUUUUGUAUGAACUUAUAGGUUUAUACAUGUUGAACUUAUAGACCAGCUGCGCUCCGAGGCAGGGGGUAGGCGACAGCGGCGCGUUGGACUACGUUGGACAUUUUUUCUGCACUAGAUAGUGCGUAGACAUGCUGCCAAGGUCACACACAUGUUUUUGCUAGAACAAAUUGAACUGAAUAUCUUUCAUUUUGAAAUUUGAAAGAAGCUACAACUUGUGUUGCCCAAAUGUGUAUAUAAUUUUAAGUUUUCCAAGCACAUACCUUUCUAUUCUUGUUUGUUGACGGCCACGCCGCCCCUACUCCUGUGGACUGAUGGCGCCAACGAAGUGGAACUGACGGAGCAAGGAUCACGAGCAGCCUAUGGACUGAAACUCACUGCGAAUGGUUUGACACCAACGACAUGUUUGGAAGGGCAAUGACAGUCAACAUCUUAUAGCCCCCUAUUGUGAUAAAAAUAAAAGAUCAAGGCUUCGGGUAUGAGCAACUGAAUUGUUAGCAAUGUACAGUCAACAUCUUUUUGUUUUGAAUUUUUCUGAACUUAUUAAGUUUCUAUGUAUGAACAUACAAAGUUUGCAAGCAUGAAAUUUUUGCUAUGGG
rnacentral:lncRNA from 1 species